rnacentral:lncRNA from 1 species
CGAAAAGGGAAAACGCUGCCUUGGCAGCGUGUGAGAGAGUGAAAGAAAUAGAGGGGGGGAGCUGCCUUUGGGCAGCUCGCAGAGAAGAGGCGCUGCCUUUGGCAGCGAGAGAGGCCCAAGGCGCGGCAUUGGUGGAAGGAGAGAGCUGCCUUUGGCAGCGAGCAGCAGGGGACAGGAAAGAGCUGCCUUUGCAGCACAAGGAAAAAGGGGGAGAGCAGUCAGCGUGGAAGGCUGACGGGGCAAGUGAGCACGGGUAGGAAAGGAGUCAGUACGGGGUGAGGGCGGUCUUGGGCGCGGAAAAGGAAAGGCUGCCUUGGCAGCAGAAUUGAGGACGGUCAGAAGGUGGGAAGGCGCAGAGAGGGAUAGAGAGAAAGAGUCAGACGCCAGAAAAACAGAAAAAAAAGAUAGAGAGAAUGAGGGGGACUGACGCAAGGGCAGCAUGGGCAGAAGCAGCAAGCACUCUCCUCUCUCUCGGUUAAAUCUUUCUAAAUCUAUAUUUUAUUUCUGUUUUUAAUAAUGUGUAAUUAAAUUUAUUUUGGCUAGAGGUUAAUUCGAAACCAUGGAUAUAUUUGUAAUAUGAAUUGAUUACCUUCGGUUGUGAUUUCAUAAGUUGUGAAUUCAAUUUACUUAUCCGUUCGUAUAAAAACUGAUUUGUGUAUGUUGGUUGAGAGUGCACGCUUAAUUUACAUGCAUGAAUUUGAUGCUAGAAUAUAAGUGAAUUUCACCUAAUCGUUAUGAACUUAUUUUCACAAGUAGUAAAGGUUGCUAGUCACAAUCACGUUAAGUAAAUUCUUGGCAAGAGUAUCAUGCUUUUCAUAGUUACGAAUGCCUCGUCAAUGCUUAUAGUUUUCACAAAGUUUAAUGAUCUUUGAUUGUAUCUCUAUUGUGCUUUUCACGUAGGGGACUUUUGAAGAAUGUUUUUGAAUUGUUGUAUGCGUUUUCCCGUCCAAUUCAAUAACUUAAGGAAAACUUGAAGAUUAAAAAAGUGUUGUUCACGGUUAAUCUGAAGUGUUGAGUUUCACAACUUAUUGAAAGAACAACUGAAAAUCAAUUUAGGUUGCAUAUGUGUCAUGUGUAGAGAAGAACCCUCUAGCUAAUCCAUCACCUAUCCUUUCACCUUAAUUUCAUGUUUUUGUAAAUUCUGUAAUUUAUUUAAGUUUAAUUUACUUCUAGUCAAAACCAAACACCCUUCCAUUAUUAAAUUAUAUUAUUUAGUUAGUUUUCUUUAUUGUUAGUCUCUUAAUUUAAUUUCCGUCCAUUUCAGUUCCUAGUGUUUAAUUUAAUUGUUUUCAUUAUUUUGAGUCAUUUUAAGUGUGUUUCGAGUUAUUAGAGUUUUUAGCCUAGUUUUGUGUCCUUGAGUCUUAUUUAAUAUUUUUAAAUUAAUUUAGAAUAGAUUAGCAAUCCCUCCUAAUCCCCGGCCUAGAACGAUACCCUACUUACAUCUAUACUACAAUUGUCAAAAAGAGGGUUUAAUUUGUGUGCUUAGUUAUUUUACCAUCAAAUUUUGGCGCCGUUGCCGGGGAUUAGUAACUUUGCUAAUCCUUUUAUUUUUGUUUUUGUUUAUGUUUAUAUUGGUGUUUGUGUAUUUUACUUUUGAUAUUUGAUUUAUUUUUCUUUCUUUGAUUUUAGGUUCAAAUGGAGCCGAGGGAAAUUUAAAGGAAAGAUGCGUCCGGCUAAAGACGUUAAAUCAAGCGCUUCUUGGGAGGCAACCCAAGCAUUCAACGAAGGGAGACUUUGGAAUCACUAACCCAAUCAGCUUUGCAUUCUUCCACCCUUAUCUUUACUGCUUUCAUUUUGUUUUGUUUAGUUAGUUGUGUUAUUUGGUUGAUUUCUGUGAGUUUGUGUUAUUUAGUUUAAGUGUGGGGGAAGGUUAACCAAAGUCUUUCUACUUUAAUUUACUUAUAAAAAAAAAAAAAAAAAAAAGAUAAAAUUUAAAAUUAAUGAUAAAAAUAAAUAAAUAAAUAAAUAAACACUUAAAAAAAAAUAAAUAAAUAAAUAAAAAAUAAUAAAAAAAAAAAAAAAAAGUACAAAUAUUUUACAAUGAUGUAAACUAAUAGUAUUCAUUGGUCGGGUGGUGCUUCAGUAGUAGGCGGGGCUUCAGCAGUCGGCGGGGCCACAGAAGGAGGAGGCGGCAGAGGUUGAUCAGUUGGAGCUUCACUACGCGGUGCCGCUCCAGAAGACGAAGGCAGAUGUUGUUGGAACAAACCCACAAACCUCCGAUGAUCAAGUAAAAUUUGACCAUCGGUGUCCUGCAUCUGGUCAAUCUUCCUCUUCAUGCUGGUGGCAUAGCUGUGUGCGAGCUUGUGCAAUUCCUUAUUCUCAUGCUUGAGCCCUUUAAUCUCUUGCUUGAGACUUUGUAUUUCAGCCACCAAGGAUUCAACGUGACGGGUUCGGGCAUAUAGGCGUUGGGCCAUGUUGGAUACGGAACCCGCACACUGCACACUGAGAGCCAGAGACUCCUUGACCGCCAAUUCAUCAGACCGCCUUGCGAGCAGUCUGUUAUCUCUGGGAGUGACAAGGUUUCGGGCCACCACCGCAGCGGUCAUGUCAUUUUUCAUCACCGAAUCCCCAACAGUAAGAGGACCAGUUGGGGAUAUGAAAGAUGGGCGCCAUAUGUUGUCUGGUGAAGGCGGAGCUGCCUCUUCACCACGGUUCAGGUCAAAACGACGAUCGGAAGGGCCAGACAUUUUUCAGAGGUGGUGAAGAAAGAAGAGAGUUGGACUGAUCAAGAUUAAACAAGUGCAAGAUGGGAGUGUUUACUAGAGGGAGCUCAAGUGUGUUGUGGAACAAAAUUAACGCCUCUAUAAAAAGAAGAAAUCAAAGAGGCGCUCCUCAGAGAAGCGUCAUCUCGCAAAUCGAAGAGUCGGGGCUCCUUUCUCAAAAGCCGGAUUCUUUUCUCAAAAGAGGCGUUUCAUUUCUUAAAGGCUGGGCUUGCUCAGAAACCACGAGCCGAACCCCGGAUUUCAAAAGAUCAAUUUGUCCAGACGUGUCGUCACUUGUCACACGCAAAUUGCUUUGCGAAAUUCUCGGGCAGUUUGUCGAAGCACCAAUUCAGAAAUCGAAGAGGGAAAUUCAACAGUCAAAGACACGCUAGCUUUCUCAAAAGCUGGGCUUCAACCCACGGGCAAAUCUUCUUUUCCAGAUUUAUCCGCACGUGUCACAUGCUACCUCUACAAUCGACGAUGCUCAGAGCUCGAAGCGCCGAUUCCAGAUAUCAAUGAGGAAUCUGCUUUGCGGAAAUUACGGGCAGCUUUGUCAGAAAGCGCGUAAUUUGUACUAUUCAUCCAUCCACCGGCUGCCGACAAUGAGUGAGAGAACAGUUCCGGUUGUGAAGGCAAGUCCUAUAAGUUUCUACCUUCGCCUUCCACAGCAAAAGCACAUUCUCUCAGCACACCCUCUCAACACCUCUUCAUCUCCGAAAAUGCAUUCCCAAAGAAUCCUCUCGAGUCACUCUGUGUUCCUCAUUCCUUGGGAUACUCCUGCGAACAACCCAUUCAAAGCAAAAGUAUUUCAUAUCAUAAAGGUUGAAAGCAAGAGUAUCUCAUAUCAUGCUUUCUCCAUGUCCUUCUCCUUGUCUUUGUUUUCCGACAAGGAGAAAGAGAGCAAUCAGCCAGCAUUUGGUAUCAAUCUUCCAAUCUGGAGCCAACUGCCUGGAACCCCUUCCUGAUUGCUUACCUAGCCUUGCUCUCGAGUACUCAUCUUCAUCAUUUUAUGCUUUCUCUUCGUCUACCACAUCUGCCUGGGGGACAGUAAGGGAAGUGAAAAUGAUACCUCGAAGCAUGUGGAGACAAUUCAGCUAGGGACAAGGAGAAAGAAAGCAAGAGGUGGGCACUUGGAAAGAUUGAAGAAAGAAAUAAGGACCAACACCUUUGCCUCGUGCCUGCCCGCCGUGCUGAAGAAACAAGCAGAGAAGAAUGCAGCUCGUACAAUCAACCCAGCACAAGAAGUCCGAACUGAAGACCUAGAGAAGCUGGCACAUCUGCUUGGAGAACAAAUAAGGAACUGCAACAUAACCAAAGAGCAAAGCUUCGCCGUACAAUAUCAUAAAAUCAUCACUUGCAAGUGAAAAGCUAAGUGUCACCCUGUUCAAGAGGAAAGCUGUGGAAAGUCAACAAGCACGACCAAUGAUUACUUAUUAGUUUUAUUCAUUAUCUUUUAUCGUAAUUUUCAAUUUUUCGUUUGCAAUUUUUUUUUUUUUAAUUAAUUUUCUUGCGUACUUAACUGAAUUAUUUCUUUUCUUUGCAGGAACUUUUGGUUAUUUCCACCCUUGAAGUUGAUUGCAGAAUUUUAGCUUGGGGGUCAUCGCUUGAUUUUACUGCAAAUUAGGGAAGUUUUCAGUCCAAUUGCGUUAUUUUGUUUCUUAUUAUUUAUUUAUUUUAUUUUAUUUUUUUAUUUGCAUUAUAGUGUUUUCUGACAUUGGGGACAAUGUCAAGUUUAAGUGUGGGGGUAGAAAUCUCUAGAAUUUCAUUUGUUUCUGUGUUGUUGCUUUUUGUUUUCUUUAAAAAAAAAAAAAAAAAAAAAAAUCGGAAAAUUUAAAAAUCCAAAAAUAUUGUCUUGUUUUCCUUAUUGUUUUGAAUUAGAUUUUUGUUAGUUUCCCGACCCAAUGAUAUAAUUGAAUAAAAUUUGAACCAUGAUCAUCAAGAACUUAGUUAACAUGUGUUUUGUGAAAUUCCUAAUUCUUUUGUUAGUUUUGUACAUGUUUGAUCAUCUUUGAAAAACCAAAUGCACAUAGCCUUGUUGAUGUGAAACUAAAGCAUAACGUAAAGCUUCAUAUGUGAAUUUAGUGACCAUAUACAUCCUAUGUGAGUUUUUGAGCCUAUUGAAAGUGUGUGCAUUUUUCAUACACUCCUAUUCUUUCAUGUGUGCUGAACUUAUGUGAGAUGCAUCUCUAGAACUUGCGUAACGAUCUUUCGAAAUGUUUGUCAUUGAUUACAUGAACUUGGAAAUGAUAGAGGCAUUAGGUUUACCACCAUGGCCCAAAUAACCAUGUUUCCCAACAGAAAAAUGAUAUCAUUAGAUUGCCAAUUUGAGCCGUGUUUGUUGAGCCUUUUAUUUCUUAUCACCAGAUAUGUCUACCCUUAUACCUGAAAUAUUUUUUCCUUACCCUUUCCAAGCGAGCAAUGCGAGAUUGUCUUAUGAGAAAUGUUUGUGAAGUACUUUGAAGGUGUUUGGCAAAAGAAUAAGUGUGGGGGUAUUUCAUGUUUGUAUUUUAAAAAAAAAAAAAAAAAAAAAAAAAAAAAAAAAAAAGAAAGAAAGAUUGUAUACAAAGAAAAUAAAAAGUUUUUAAAGUUUCAGUUUAAGAGUAUGGUUGGAGGUGCUAGAAGAAUUGCUGGAGAGCUUGAGUUCUUAUAAAUCUAAAGAAAAGAAUUGCUUGCAAUGUAGCUUGGAACUUGUGUUUUCCUAUUCUUUCAUUUCAAUAACCCUAUCCCUAAGCCUCAUUACAUCCAAUAAAAGUCCUCUUGAUUUAAGUUUUGCAAUUAUGACUGUGGAGAAGUGAUCUUUAUGCAAGCUUAUGGUAGAAAUUUCACAUUUGUUUCUUUGAGCGAAACACAUUAAAACUAAACACAUAUGUGAUUGAGUGUAUAUCCCGUGAGAAGGUUACUAGUUUGCAUAUGAUGAUUUUAAAAAAUAAAAACUUGAAAUUGCAUUAGCAUGGCUAUCUCACACAUUACACUUCAAGGAUGAUUCAAAGAUUAUUGCUAAUAUUUGAAUAAGGAAGAUGAACUUGGAUUAACUUGUUUGGUGCUAGCUAUGGUUCUUGAUGAUUUGUGUUCUCAAAUGAAAUUCUAUGAGGGUCACAUAGGGGGAAACUAAUGUUUUUUCAUGUUAGUACUUUUUCAUGUUUUCUUUGUUUUGCUCGAGGACUAGCAAAAGCUAAGUAUGGGGGUAUUUGAUCGGAUCAUAUUUAUAUAUAUUUUUACUUCAAAUUCACUCGUAUUUUCUUAGUCAGUUCUUUAUAUUUUUGAGCUAUUUACGUUAUUUUUGUGUUUAUAGGAUUUGUUAUGCAAAGAAAAUAAAAACAGCACAAAUGAGUUUUAAAUAAUAAACAGAAUAGUUACUUCGAACAUUAUGAUUUUUUUUUGUAGGUCAAUUCAUUGCGAUUAUAAUCGAACUAAAUCUCUGUCCUUAAAUCUAUGCAGAAUGUAUAUAUGCACCACGCAUUGAUUUUUCCAAUAUCUGUUUACGUGUAUAAAGUGCAUGCAGACGGUACUCACUCGUUUUCUUUUUGGUCAGCAAGCGUGGAUUUCCAACUAGACAACAAAAGAAUCCAAGGAAGGCAAGUCAGACGUGGGGAAAAGUGGGAGUGUGCUGGCUGAGACCAUGUUCUAUGUUCCAGCUGAGAACCGAGAAAAGAAAGCUGCUUUGCAGCUGGAGAGAAAAAAAUAGGAGCUGUAAAGAGGAAACAAGGGGUCAGCGUGAAAAGGAAAGCAGAAGACAGCUAAGAAAGAAAUAAAAUAAAAGAAAGGCAGCAGAUAUCACGGGACAGGGAAGAGGACCGAAAAGGGAAAACGCUGCCUUGGCAGCGUGUGAGAGAGUGAAAGAAAUAGAGGGGGGGAGCUGCCUUUGGGCAGCUCGCAGAGAAGAGGCGCUGCCUUUGGCAGCGAGAGAGGCCCAAGGCGCGGCAUUGGUGGAAGGAGAGAGCUGCCUUUGGCAGCGAGCAGCAGGGGACAGGAAAGAGCUGCCUUUGCAGCACAAGGAAAAAGGGGGAUAGCAGUCAGCGUGGAAGGCUGACGGGGCAAGUGGGCACGGGUAGGAAAGGAGUCAGUACGGGGUGAGGGCGGUCUUGGGCGCGGAAAAGGAAAGGCUGCCUUGGCAGCAGAAUUGAGGACGGUCAGAAGGUGGGAAGGCGCAGAGAGGGAUAGAGAGAAAGAGUCAGACGCCAGAAAAACAGAAAAAAAAGAUAGAGAGAAGGAGGGGGACUGACGCAAGGGCAGCAUGGGCAGAAGCAGCAAGCACUCUCCUCUCUCUCGGUUAAAUCUUUCUAAAUCUAUAUUUUAUUUCUGUUUUUAAUAAUGUGUAAUUAAAUUUAUUUUGGCUAGAGGUUAAUUCGAAACCAUGGAUAUAUUUGUAAUAUGAAUUGAUUACCUUCGG